rnacentral:rRNA from 1 species
GACAAACGCUGGCGGCGUGCCUAAAACAUGCAAGUCGAACGGACCCUUCGGGGUCAGUGGCGGACGGCUGAGUAACACGUAGGCAACCUACCCAGGCGUGGGGAAUACCGCACCGAAAGGUGCGCUAAUACCGCAUACGCUCACUGGUCUCUGGGCGAGUGAGGAAAGCAGCAAUGCGCGCGUGGAUGGGCCUGCGGCCGAUUAGCUAGUUGGUGGGGUAACGCCUACCAAGGCGAUGAUCGGUAGCUGGUCUGAGAGGAUGAUCAGCCAGACUGGGACUGUGACACGGCCCAGACUCCUAGGGAGCAGCAGUAAGGAAUAUUGGUCAAU